rnacentral:ncRNA from 1 species
GGGGCUGAUUGCAUAGAUCGGGUCCCACCAAGGCGGGGAGUUACCCC